ensembl:lncRNA
CCCCCUCCCACCCCCGCGUUCUCAUCUGUCAAAGCGGCUCCGGAUCCGCUGCUCGGCGUUAAUGACGGCGGAGCGAUGGAGCGGGGCGGGGGGGGUGAAAGGGUCACGGCUGUCCUCGGGCAGUGUGGGGUGAAAAGGGCACGGGGGGGGGAUGGGGGGGGGGGGGGGCAGAGAGGGGUCGGGACGGACCGCUGCUGUGACCUGCCAGGACCUGCGGCCGGGGGGACCCCCCCGGGGAUGCUCGUUUUGGUCUCAGACCGCUCCUGGGGGGGCUCAGAUCGCUCCUGGGGGGCUCAGAUCACUGCUGGGGGGGCUCAGAUCGCUCCUGGGGGGGCUCAGAUCGCUGCUGUGACCUGCCAGGACCUGCGGCCGGGGGGGAUCCCCCCGGGGAUGCUCAUUUUGGGGGCAGAAAUUGGUGGGUUUGGGGUUGUUUUUUUACUGGGGGGGGGGGUUAACACUCAAUGGGGUUUCCCAAUCCAUCCGUCCAUCCCCCCCCGUCCCCCCCCGUGCUUCCCUGGGGGAAAAGGGGAAUGGGACCCCCAGAGCCCCCCCUAGACCUACAGCACUGUAUGGGUAUGCACCCUAUGGGGGCCACAAAUGGACCCUAUAGGCACCCAUAUACCCACACUGAGAAGCCUACGGAUCCCAUAGGGACCACAUAUGGACCCUAUAGGCACCCAUAUACCCACACUGAGAAGCCUACGGACCCCAUAGGGACCACAUAUGGACCCUAUAGGCACCCAUAUACCUACACUGAGAAGCCUACGGACCCUAUAGGGACCACAUAUGGACCCUAUAGGCACCCAUAUACCCACACUGAGAAGCCUACGGACCCUAUAGGGAUCACAUAUGGACCCCAUAGGCACCCAUAUACCCACACUGAGAAGCCUACGGACCCUAUAGGGACCACAUAUGGAUCCUAUAGGCACCCAUAUACCCACACUGAGAAGCCUAUGGACCCUAUAGGGACCACAUAUGGCCCAUAUGCAAACCCCACCCCCAGCUCUGCCCACAGCACUGGAAAUAAGACGACAUAUAGGGCUGUAUGUAAAUAAAAACCCCAUAUGCUCAGCUCUGCACACGUACCUAUAGGCCUAUCCGUGCCCCAUAUGUGCUACGCCAACAGGGCCAUAUACACUAUAGGAGCAAUAGGGCCCCAUAGGCACCUGCACCCCACUCCAGGUCCCUCUAUGUCUAUAGACAGCGGUGGGGGGGGGGCUCAGAUCGCUCCUGGGGGGCUCAGGUUGGACUGUGGGGCUGAGACCACUACUG